UACAGAGGUGGCAAGCGUUGUUCGGAAUUACUGGGCGUAAAGGGCGCGUAGGCGGCCUUCUAAGUCAGACGUGAAAUCCCCCGGCUUAACCUGGGAACUGCGUCUGAUACUGGAGGGCUUGAGUAUGGGAGAGGGAUGUAGAAUUCCAGGUGUAGCGGUGAAAUGCGUAGAUAUCUGGAGGAAUACCGGUGGCGAAGGCGGCAUCCUGGACCAUUACUGACGCUGAGGCGGCGAAAGCUAGGGGAGCAAACGGG
rnacentral:rRNA from 1 species